GACGAACGCUGGCGGCGUGCCUAAUACAUGCAAGUCGAGCGGACCAAAGGGAGCUUGCUCCUGGAGGUUAGCGGCGAACGGGUGAGUAACACGUGGGCAACCUGCCUGUAAGACUGGGAUAACAUCGAGAAAUCGGUGCUAAUACCGGAUAAUAAAAAGAACUGCAUGGUUCUUUUUGAAAGAUGGUUUCGGCUAUCACUUACAGAUGGGCCCGCGGCGCAUUAGCUAGUUGGUGAGGUAACGGCUCACCAAGGCGACGAUGCGUAGCCGACCUGAGAGGGUGAUCGGCCACACUGGGACUGAGACACGGCCCAGACUCCUACGGGAGGCAGCAGUAGGGAAUCUUCCGCAAUGGACGAAAGUCUGACGGAGCAACGCCGCGUGAGCGAUGAAGGCCUGGGUCGUAAAGCUCUGUGGGAGAGACGAAGAAAGACCUGUGAAGAGCAGGCCUUGACGGUAUACUCCUUAGCAAGCACCGGCUAACUCCGUGCCAG
rnacentral:rRNA from 1 species